AUGACACUGCUUUACUUGGAGGAUGCAUUCAGAUUCAUUUUCUGUGUGGCACUAUUCAUUUUGGAAUUCUUAUUUGAUUCCAUAUACACUGACCCCAUCCUUAUACUGCAAGGCACUGUUAAAAUAGCCUGCAUACUCAAUAAAUGGCUUCUGUACAACAGCUUAUUAGAAAAAAAACACCCUGAUUCAACAAACACAAAAUUACAUCUUCAUAAAUGCAAUCAGAAGAAAACAACAGAGGAAACAGAGAAGAAUCACAGGAACUGUACAUGCUGCUCGUUGAAGCCUGCCACCUGUUGCUGCUCUUACCCUGAGAGGAAGGAAGGAAGACUACACGUGGCAGCAAGAGGCCAGGGAAUGACCAGGUGGUAA
rnacentral:lncRNA from 1 species